rnacentral:ribozyme from 1 species
AGCCCAGCAACUCCUAUCCCUACCUCCACGCGAUACCGGCCGGAAACUAUGAGCAACCUUAGGGAAGUUCGGGUAACCGAUGGGAAACUUAGUCGUAGGCUGACAGGGAAGG